GUCUUUUUGAUAAUAAUUUAAAGUCUAAUCUGCCCACUGAAUUAUUUUAAAGGGCUGCAGUAUAUUGACUGUACAAAGGUAGCAUAAUCAUUAGUCUUUUAAUUGAAGACUUGUAUGAAUGAUUUGAUGAAAUAUAAACUGUCUCUUUAUUAAUAAUAGAAAUUAAUUUUUUAGUUAAAAAGCUAAAAUUUAUUUAAAAGACGAGAAGACCCUAUAGAGUUUUAUAUUUAAAUUUAUAUUAAUUCUUUAUAAAAUUUAUAUUUAAUAUUUUUUUAAUUAUUUUAUUGGGGUGAUAGAAAAAUUUAUUAAACUUUUUUUAAAAUUUUUACAUUAAUAUAUGAAAUUUUGAUCCAUAAUUUAUGAUUAAAAGAUUAAAUUACCUUAGGGAUAACAGCGUAAUUUUUUUUUUUAGUUCUUAUAAGAAAAAAAGUUUGCGACCUCGAUGUUGGAUUAAGAUAAAAUUUAAAUGCAAAAGUUUAAAAUUUUGAUCUGUUCGAUCAUUAAAAUCUU
rnacentral:rRNA from 1 species